rnacentral:lncRNA from 1 species
UCUUCCAUUGCUUUUGCCAUUCUUUCCUUGAGAUCCUUCUCUUCUGGUGUAUUCUCAAUAAUGGGAACCACCAGCGUAUCAUCAUAGCGGUAAUAGCCUCCUGAAGAACACUUCUGGAUUCCUUUUAUCAUCUCCUGAUGGGUAAUAGUGAACUCACUCCCUGGGUAAAGAAGGGUAGCCAUAACAGCAGCCUUGGAAUGAGUAUGUAUCACUGCACCUGCUCCCCUCAUAGUGUAGGCAUUCAUAAAAAGAGGUGUGCACUGGCUUUUCUUUAGUUUCUUGUGUGCUGGGGGACCACUGAUGUCCUGCUCGUUCAUGUCACAAACAAACAUAUCUUCUGGCUGUAUUCUUUCCUUCUGGACUCCUGAAGGAGCAAUAUAGAUUUCAUUCCCGUGUUUCAGGCUGAUCCCUCCACCAGUUCCUGUUACCCAGCCUAAACCAUAAAACAGUCUACAGAGUUCUGGGAUAAGAUUUCUUGGGUGCAACUUAUCCUGCGUUGCGUCGCCGCCGUUGGCGAGUUCCAGGCCGUGGCCGCUGGCGGCAGCCAUGGCGCCGGUGCGUGCGCU